UUUUCACUGUUUCGACGUCUU
rnacentral:piRNA from 1 species